CGCCCCGUCGCCGGCCCUCCCCCGCCCCGUCGCCGACCCUUCCCCUCGUCCACGGCCCGCCCCGUCGAGGUCCAGGUCCGCGACAGAUCCGCCUACACCGGCGUCUUCCACACCGCCUCCCUCGACGCCGGAUACGCGUUGGACAUGCAUAUAAGAAGAGGAUGAAGUCAAUAAUUAUGAGCUGAAGGUCAGAUAUAUUUGAUCUGUCAAGAUGUGGAAAGUAUAGCCACACGGGCCAUCUUUCUUAUAGACCGACCAGUUGCGCCUCCCCGCCGGUCGCCGCCCGCCACCCCAAGGAUCAAGGCCGGCCGCGCCGGUCCCCGUCGGUCGCUGCUCCUGAUCCAGGCCGCCCACCGCCCCGCCCCCGUCAGCCCGGUCUAUUUCCCACCGGAUCCCAUCUUCGCCGCCGUCCGACGCGCCUUUUUCAAGGAGCUGCGACCCCAUGUCUCAGAGGAGCUAGCCCCUACGCCAUUGAUGCCCGAGCGACGCUCCCAAGCUAGGAGCGGCACGAGGACGACCACGCCCCCGAAGCCUAAAC